GAAUUUUAUAUAGUCUUUUAUUUAAAAUUUUUAUAGUUAUAAAAGGAUAUAUUUAGUUGGGAGGAUUAUUAAAUUUUAAAAACUUUAAUUAUAAUAAGGCAUAUAUUAAUGGGUAAUAAAGAAUGAUCAUUAGAUUAAAGUAGAAUUAAUUACCUUAGGGAUAACAGCGUAAUAUUUUUUGAGAGACCAUAUUGAAAAAGAUGUUUGC
rnacentral:rRNA from 1 species